GUCUUCUUAGCUCAGUCGGUGGAGCGCUGGUCUCAUAAACUGACCCGGAAGGGACACUACCGGGAGAUCCAGAGGUCGAGGGUUCGAUCCCCUCAGAGGGCA
rnacentral:tRNA from 1 species